CUUGUUUCUUGUUUUUCAAAGAAUCAAGAUAUUUCUUGCAGUUUCUCUUCCAAUGUCCUUUCUCUUUACAGAAGAAGCAUUCAGCAUCACUGUGGUCAGUUUUAACCUUCUUGUAUUUGGGUUUGGUCACACCACCCUUAGUUCCAAGAGGUUUCCUUUUUGGUAUAUAUUUACCUUUGCCCUUUUUCUUAGAAGUCUUGCCAACCACCAUGACAAUUCCUUUAUUCUUUUCAGAGGAAACUUGAUUCUCAUAAUCAAUUAACAAGUUAAGCAUCUCAUGCAGAUCACAACUCAUUUUGUUCAUGUUGAAAUUCACAAUGAAUUGUGAGAAAGAA
rnacentral:lncRNA from 1 species